rnacentral:rRNA from 1 species
CAGUCGCCGCGGGAAUACGAAGGGGGCUAGCGCUGUUCGGAUUUACUGGGCGUAAAGCGCACGUAGGCGGAUUCUUAAGUCAGAGGUGAAAUCCCAAGGCUCAACCUUGGAACUGCCUUUGAUACUGGGGAUCUCGAGCCCGGGAGAGGUGAGUGGAACUGCGAGUGUAGAGGUGAGAUUCGUAGAUAUUCGCAAGAACACCAGUGGCGAAGGCGGCUCACUGGCCCGGUACUGACGCUGAGGUGCGAAAGCUAGGGGAGCAAACAGGAUUAGAUACCCCUGUAGUCCCUGUCUCUUAUAC